CUGGGAAAAAAGGUUCAGAAGGUUCUGCCUCCCCCUUCAUAUCCUCUCUUGACAUUUAGGAUCCUUUUAGCCGCUCUCCAUGUCUAGAAACUGUCCCGAUCAGCUGUCUUGGACUGCUGAAGUGCCUUUCGUCCAAUGGAUCUUGGACUGCUGCUACUGUGGGUGGGGGAGUUCUGGACUUGGACUGUGCGUUGUCCCUGACUGCAAUUGGGUGUUGUGCCUUCAGUCGACUUUGAGUAUGAGUACUGCAGUGAAUGUUUUCCUCUGCAUCCUAGUGACACUGUCUCUUGCUUGUAACGCAGGGUCUUUUACUGGCUUUGUUGACCACUGGAGGAACUGUGCACCGUUGUGCUUUCAGUUUCAGGUCUUCGGGACUAGCCUGAUGAUGUCUGCAAUGUUCAGAGAACCAAUGUCAGUCAGUAGAGUAGAGGAGAGUAGAGUAGAGUAGAGUAGAGAAGAGUAGUAGAGGCUUGGCUUAAGUUAGUGGUUCUGGGCGGCGGAGGCAUUGUCAUGCGCAGGGCCUGUCCUGAUGCCUGCUGGAGGUUCCCGCGGUGCGGUCCGGUCCACGGUUCCUUCGGCUACCUUGGGGUGGGUGGACAACCAGGUCAGUGGAAUGCCUUGCUGCGCAGGUGGGAGGUGGUCUCGCUGUGUGGAGGAGGGCAUUCACUGCAGUGCUCGUCCAGGCUCAGCGGGGGGCAAGGCACCCGGUUGCAGUCUGGGGCGGCGCGUGGGCCGGCUCCGGGCUCCACUGCCAACAGUGGCAGCGGUCCAAGAACUGUUGAACGAAGGGUGCUUCGGUCGUCUGGGAAGGCUGGUUAGGGUAGUUUCAUGGACAUGGAAACCGGCUGAGGGAUUCCUGAGUGUCGGGAGGGGAAUGGGGGCAGUGCCACGCCUGGUCUCAGAGUGGAGGUGGGACAACCAGGACCUCACAGACCCACAGACAGGGUUGACUGCAGCAGCGUACGCAUAUACACCAGACCUCAGAAGGGAGGUGGGACAGCCAUGAUCUCCUGGAUGCACAGGAGAGAGGGGACUUCAGGGCUUCGUCGGGAGUGUAGGCAACACUGGACCACAGGAGCCAGGCGAAUCACCAGGCCCUGCAGCUGAUCGAGGGCCUAAAGGCGCACAGGGAGCCAAAGGGGUCGAAGGAGAAGAGGGACCCGCAGGACAACAGGAGACCCAGGGGAGAGAGGAAACGGUGGAUUCCCAGGCGCUCAAGGACCCAGUGGACAGAGGGUGAGCUA